rnacentral:rRNA from 1 species
GCAAUGCCGCGUGAGUGAUGAAGGCCUUCGGGUUGGUAAGACUCUUUCUACCCGCCGACGAUGAGUGACGGUAGCGGGAGAAGAAGCCCCGGCUAACUUCGUGCCAGCAGCCGCGGUAAUACGAAGGGGGCGAGCGUUGUUCGGAUUUACUGGGCGUAAAGGGCGCGCAGGCGGCCGCGUUUGUCAGGCGUGAAAGCCCCGGGCUUAACCUGGGAACUGCGCUUGAGACGGCGCGGCUAGAGUUCGGGAGAGGAGAGUGGAAUUCCCAGUGUAGAGGUGAAAUUCGUAGAUAUUGGGAAGAACACCGGUGGCGAAGGCGGCUCUCUGGACCGAGACUGACGCUGAGGCGCGAAAGCGUGGGGAGCAAACAGGAUUAGAUACCCUGGUAGUCCACGCUGUAAACGAUGUGUGCUAGACGUUGGGGAGCCUGGCUCUUCGGUGUCGCAGCUAACGCGGUAAGCACACCGCCGUGGGGAGUACGGCCGCAAAGGUUA